CAAUACAAUAAUGAAUGAGCCUGGAGAUGUAAAGAAAUGAGAUACUGUAUAUGAGCAUAACGUGAGUUGAAGAGGAGCAGAAACACAUCACGACGCCGGAGAAAGAAGAACACCUUCCACCAGGAUUCAUUAUCAUUCACAUUUAUAGUAAAUGGAUCAGAAAUGGAUUUCAGUCUUCUUCCUUCUCUCAGCUAUCUAUGGUCUGUCUGCAUACGUUCCUCAUCGGUAUCACUUUGUGAAUGAGAAUAAAACCUGGACUGAAGCUCAGAGCUACUGCAGACAGACCUACACUGAUCU